AACGACUCUCGACAACGGAUAUCUCGGCUCUCGCAUCGAUGAAGAACGUAGCGAAAUGCGAUACUUGGUGUGAAUUGCAGAAUCCCGUGAACCAUCGAGUCUUUGAACGCAAGUUGCGCCCGAAGCCAUCAGGCUGAGGGCACGUCUGCUUGGGUGUCACGC
rnacentral:rRNA from 1 species